rnacentral:rRNA from 1 species
AUGAACGCUGGCGGCGUGCCUAAUCCAUGCAAGUCGCGCGAACAGACGAGGAGCUUGCUCCUCUGACGUUAGCGGCGGACGGGUGAGUAACACGUGGAUAACCUACCUAUAAGACUGGGAUAACUUCGGGAAACCGGAGCUAAUACCGGAUAAUAUAUUGAACCGCAUGGUUCAAUAGUGAAAGACGGUUUUGCUGUCACUUAUAGAUGGAUCCGCGCCGCAUUAGCUAGUUGGUAAGAUAACGGCUUACCAAGGCAACGAUGCGUAGCCGACCUGAGAGGGUGAUCGGCCACACUGGAACUGAGACACGGUCCAGACUCCUACGGGAGGCAGCAGUAGGGAAUCUUCCGCAAUGGGCGAAAGCCUGACGGAGCAACGCCGCGUGAGUGAUGAAGGUCUUCGGAUCGUAAAACUCUGUUAUUAGGGAAGAACAAAUGUGUAAGUAACUAUGCACGUCUUGACGGUACCUAAUCAGAAAGCCACGGCUAACUACGUG